GUAUAAGUAGCGCAAACAAACCGUCACCUCGCGUAAUCUUUGGACGGAGAAGCUGGAAGGAAGGCACAUUCGCCUCCUGAACAAAAUAAUGGCAGGAGUCGCCGUUGUCACGCCUGCAGGUCAGAUGCAUCUGAUGCCGCUGCACACCGAAAUGCUUAAUAUGGCUGUGAGUUCUUUCAUAGUGGAAAUGCUGAAGACGAUCGUCAUCCUAGGUGUUUUAGGAUGCACUGAGGAAAAUGUCAAGCUGCACGUUGAUGGCAAGCCACUGGACAGGCCCACUGCAUCACUGGCCGAUUGUGGAAUCAAAGUCGGCUCGACUGUGCAGGUGGUGAGGAAGGUUCACGGAGGGUGAAGGAGUCCAUCAUUAAUUCAUGUGACCACGUCAAAUGAACAGGAUGGACUGAAUUAUAAAUACGCGAAGAAGAGAAAACGCAUCAUUUUGAUUUAAGUCUGGCACCUCCGACUUUCCUUCUCUCAUCAUUUCUUCAUUUUUACAUGGAGCUCGCUCACUUGCACGCAUAAAUGAAUAGUCCGGUUCUCAGCUCGGAAUAUAUAAUGAUUAAUGGCCCUGUACGUUUUUAUUUUAUUUUAUUUUAUUUUAUUUUAUUUUAUUUUAUUUUAUUUACGUUGGUGGGGCUUCUGUUCCAGGGAUGACAAAUUAGGAUUAUCUCCUCUCACUGACAUCACACAGAUCCGCAGUCUGAAACAGAGCCUUUUUAGAUUUCUGAUCUUUUAGCUCACAUUAAUCACUUAAACAAUAAGUAUAGAGAAUAUCACCUUUAUAUCCAAUAUAAAUUUUAAACGUGUGUGUGUGUGUGUGUAACCUCAUAUUAUUAUAAUUAUGUAGCAGCACAAAGAGCAACAUCCACAAGAUGAAAGCUGAAAAAAGAAAUUUGUUUUCAAUUUCCUAUUUUACACAACAUUAUCCUUUUAUGAUGUACAUAAAUAGAAAAAGGAUUCCUGUAGCCUGUGUUCAGUAGUUUCUGGUUUUUAUGUCAAUGGCAACAUUUGAAAUAAUUUUCAAAUCAUGUUUAAUAAAUUAUUUCUAAACUGA